rnacentral:rRNA from 1 species
GACUGCGGAGGAUCAUUAUCGUAGGGCUUCGGCCCUGUCGAGAUAGAACCCUUGCCUUUUGAGUACCUUUCGUUUCCUCGGCAGCCUCGGCUGCCAAUGGGGACCCCAAAAAACACUUUGCAGUACCUGUAACAGUCUGAACAAACAAACAAAAAUUAAAACUUUCAACAACGGAUCUCUUGGUUCUGGCAUCGAUGAAGAACGCAGCGAAAUGCGAUAAGUAGUGUGAAUUGCAGAAUUCAGUGAAUCAUCGAAUCUUUGAACGCACAUUGCGCCCUUUGGUAUUCCUUAGGGCAUGCCUGUUCGAGCGUCAUUUGAACCCUCAAGCUCAGCUUGGUGUUGGGUGUCUGUCCCCGCCCCGCGGGGACUCGCCUCAAAAACAUUGGCGGCCGGUACGUUGGCUUCGAGCGCAGCAGAAACGCGAACUCGGGGCCCGACGUAGCGGCGACCACAAGUCUAUUCAUCACUUUGACCUCGGAUCAGGUAGGGAUACCCGCUGAACUUAAGCAUAUCAAUAAGCGGAGGA